UGCGGUCAACCCGUAGAUCCGAACUUGUGUUUUUGUUAUAGUUACAUGAGCUCGGAACUCGGGUAGAUUGCUG
rnacentral:pre_miRNA from 13 species